rnacentral:rRNA from 1 species
GAUGAACGCUGGCGGCGUGCCUAAUACAUGCAAGUCGAGCGAACAGACGAGGAGCUUGCUCCUCUGACGUUAGCGGCGGACGGGUGAGUAACACGUGGAUAACCUACCUAUAAGACUGGGAUAACUUCGGGAAACCGGAGCUAAUACCGGAUAAUAUAUUGAACCGCAUGGUUCAAUAGUGAAAGACGGUUUUGCUGUCGCUUGUAGAUGGAUCGGCGCCGCAUUAGCUAGUUGGUAGGGUAACGGCUUACCAAGGCAACGAUGGGUAGCGGACAUGAGAGGGUGACCGGCAAGAGGGGGACUGAGAGAGGGCCAAGACUCCGAAGGGAGGCAGCAGUGGGGAAGAUGGCACAAUGGGCGGAAGACUGAUGCAGCAACGCCGCGUGCGGGAUGACGGCAGUCGGGGUGUAAACCGCUUUCGCCUGUGACGAAGCGUGAGUGACGGUAAUGGGUAAAGAAGCAACGGCUAACUACGUG